GAUGAACGCUAGCUACAGGCUUAACACAUGCAAGUCGAGGGGAAACGGCAUUGAGUGCUUGCACUCUUUGGACGUCGACCGGCGCACGGGUGAGUAACGCGUAUCCAACCUUCCCAUUACUGUGGGAUAACCUGCCGAAAGGCAGACUAAUACCGCAUAGUCUUCGAUGACGGCAUCAGAUUUGAAGUAAAGAUUUAUCGGUAAUGGAUGGGGAUGCGUCUGAUUAGCUUGUUGGCGGGGUAACGGCCCACCAAGGCAACGAUCAGUAGGGGUUCUGAGAGGAAGGUCCCCCACAUUGGAACUGAGACACGGUCCAAACUCCUACGGGAGGCAGCAGUGAGGAAUAUUGGUCAAUGGACGGAAGUCUGAACCAGCCAAGUAGCGUGCAGGAUGACGGCCCUAUGGGUUGUAAACUGCUUUUGUAUGGGGAUAAAGUUAGGGACGUGUCCCUAUUUGCAGGUACCAUACGAAUAAGGACCGGCUAAUUCCGUGCCAGCAGCCGCGGUAAUACGGAAGGUCCAGGCGUUAUCCGGAUUUAUUGGGUUUAAAGGGAGCGUAGGCUGGAGAUUAAGUGUGUUGUGAAAUGUAGACGCUCAACGUCUGAAUUGCAGCGCGUACUGGUUUCCUUGAGUACGCACAACGUUGGCGGAAUUCGUCGUGUAGCGGUGAAAUGCUUAGAUAUGACGAAGAACUCCGAUUGCGAAGGCAGCUGACGGGAGCGCAACUGACGCUUAAGCUCGAAGGUGCGGGUAUCAAACAGG
rnacentral:rRNA from 1 species